rnacentral:lncRNA from 1 species
CAAACAACCAGUACAUAAAACCUCCCACAGAUCAGGGGGUCACGAGUCAAGAGUCUCUACCAAAAUAGCGUAAUAAUACUGAAAUAUAUCAUAAUCUAAGUACGCGAAAAUAUCAAAUACAGAAAUAGUGGAGAACUCGGGUCCUGGCGGACGCCAGGCAGCUACCUCGACAAGCUCCGAAGAAUACUCUAAAAAUCAGCCGAAAUA